rnacentral:rRNA from 1 species
UACGUAGGGGGCAAGCGUUGUCCGGAUUUAUUGGGCGUAAAGAGCGUGUAGGCGGCCAUACAGGUCAGCUGUGAAAACUCGAGGCUCAACCUCGAGACGUCGGUUGAAACCGUAUGGCUAGAGUCCGGAAGAGGAGAGUGGAAUUCCCGGUAUAGCGGUGAAAUGCGCAGAUAUCGGGAAGAACACCUAUGGCGAAGGCAGCUCUCUGGGACGGUACUGACGCUGAGACGCGAAAGCGUGGGGAGCGAACAGG